rnacentral:rRNA from 1 species
CGCCCUUAGAGUUUGAUCAUGGCUCAGGACGAACGCUGGCGGCGUGCCUAAUACAUGCAAGUCGAACGCAGCUUGCUUUGGUAAGAUGAGUGGCGAACGGGUGAGUAACACGUGGGUAACCUGCCUAUCAGAGGGGGAUAACACUUGGAAACAGGUGCUAAUACCGCAUAGAUUUCUUCCGCAUGAAAAGAGAGGAGAGACGUACGUGUCACUGAUAGAUGGACCCGCGGUGCAUUAGCUAGUUGGUGAGGUAACGGCUCACCAAGGCCAUGAUGCAUAGCCGACCUGAGAGGGUGAUCGGCCACACUGGGACUGAGACACGGCCCAGACUCCUACGGGAGGCAGCAGUAGGGAAUCUUCGGCAAUGGACGAAAGUCUGACCGAGCAACGCCGCGUGAGUGAAGAAGGUUUUCGGAUCGUAAAACUCUGUUGUUAGAGAAGAAUAGGUAGGAGUGACUUCCUGCCAUGACGGUAUCUAACCAGAAAGCCACGGCUAACUACGUGCCAGCAGCCGCGGUAAUACGUAGGUGGCAAGCGUUGUCCGGAUUUAUUGGGCGUAAAGCGAGCGCAGGCGGUUUCUUAAGUCUGAUGUGAAAGCCCCCGGCUUAACCGGGGAGGGUCAUUGGAAACUGGGAGACUUGAGUGCAGA